UACGUAGGGUGCGAGCGUUGUCCGGAAUUAUUGGGCGUAAAGAGCUCGUAGGCGGUGUGUCGCGUCGGUCGUGAAAACUUGGGGCUUAACUCUGAGCUUGCGGUCGAUACGGGCAUCACUGGAGUUCGGCAGGGGGGACUGGAAUUCCUGGUGUAGCGGUGAAAUGCGCAGAUAUCAGGAGGAACACCGGUGGCGAAGGCGGGUCUCUGGGCCGAUACUGACGCUGAGGAGCGAAAGCGUGGGGAGCGAACAGG
rnacentral:rRNA from 1 species